ACAUUUUCCGAAUUCCUAACUUCCCAACGUUUCUCUGCACACGCUAAAACAGACUUUGGUAUGACCGAGAGCAUGACUGUUUGUUUCAAAGGGCAUUCACAUUUAUUUUUUCAUCUCGCAGAACAUUUUUCUAAACUCCCCAAGCAAACGAAUUUAAAUAAAAGCAUUUUUUGUGUUAGUUUGAUGAUGUUUGGACACUCUUUUAGUUAAAAUAUUUGUAAAUAUAAAACUUUAUUUGAAAGUUACAUUGUUGCUUCAUUGUGUAAGUUUUUUUAAACGUGCCGUGUUUAUUUUGGUCAUCCAGCGAGAAAAAAAAUGAAAAUUUUGUUGCGAAAAAAGUCAUCCCGCACCGAAGAAAACUUCCCGUUACAGCUAAAUAUAAGCUGCACUAGCGAUUUGGAGUUCUAUGUUCCGAGAUUGCGCAAGCUUCCCGUUGGAGCUGUCCCGCAUGUGGUAUCAAAUAGGUUCAACUUCAACAACCAGGCAGGAGAUAUACGGAAAGCCGCUGAGAAUGUAGCACUCAUCCUGUUCGUAGCUGACGAGAAAGCUUAUUAUUUCAAGAAGCAGCACAUGACCGCUUCUGAAAAUGGGCAAUCAUGUCCGAUUGCCAGGACUUAGAUGAGAGCGAAUCAAAAUUUCAAUCCGGAUGAUGUUAAGAUAUGUCCUGCAUUCCGCUUGGCGACGUGAAGCAGACACAAAUCCAAGCCGCAACACACCUCCUAUAAAAAUUCAGUGUAUAUUAAUAAAAACUACCCACAAUUAAAACGAAGUGUAUGCUUAUUUAUCCAA
rnacentral:lncRNA from 1 species